UCCCUGGUGGUCUGGUAGUUAAGACUCCACACUUUCAAUGCUGGGGCCAUGGGUUCGAUCCCUAGUCAGGGAA
rnacentral:tRNA from 1 species